UUCCUUAGUAGAUAAAGGACUAUUGCAGCUCCCAGUUUAUUCUUAAGUUUUGAUAAUUGGUGUUUUUGAAAGAAAUCUGUCUCAUCUGAAAUUUCAAAUUUAUUGCUAAAAAGCUGCUUACAAAUUCUCACCAUCCUUUCAGUGCCUCUAGUCUCAGUGCUGUCCCCUCUUUCAUUCUGAAUCAUAGGAAUGUGUGUCUCCUUUUUUCUUGAUAAGUCCAGUUAAAGAUUAUUGAUUUUGUUAAUCUUUUGAAAUCCACAGCUUUGGUUGUAUUAUGUUUUUUGUCCGUUUUUUGUUUCUUUAAUUUCUGUUUUUCAUUAUGUUCUGUUUCCUACUAACAUUCAGUAUCAUUUUUUUUUCUAGUUUUAAGGUAGGAAUUUAUUUAUUUACUUUUCUUAAAGAUUUUAUUUAUUUAUUUGAGAGUUAGAGUUACAGACAGUGAGAAGGAGAGACAGAGAGAAAGGUCUUCCGUCCGUUGGUUCACUCCCCAAAUAGCCACAACGGCUGGAGCUUUGCCAAUCCAAAAGGAACCAAGAGCUUCCUCUGGUCUCCCACACAGGUGCAGGGGCCCAAGGACUUGAGCAUCUUCUACUGUUUUCCCAGACCAUAGCAGUGAGCUGAUUUGGAAGAGGAGCAGCUGGGACUAGAAUCGGUGCCCAUAUGGCAUGCUCGUGAUGCAGGCAGAGGAUUAACCUACUGCGCCACAGCACUGGCCUUUAAGGCUAUUCGCAGGGAGCUGGAUGUGGAGCAGCCAGGAUAUGAACCGCCAUCCAUGUGGGACGCCGGCAUCGCAGGCAGCAGUGUUACUUGCUGUGCCACAAGGCAGUCCCUGCCAUCAAUUUUAAUUUAAUCAUUUGUGGAUGGAUUACGCAUUUGAUGAUUUGUCUUCCAACGUUCAAGAUGGCGGGUGAGGCAGAACACCGUGCCCUGGGUGUGUUCGAGUGCCAGCUGUGUGCCCUGACAGCUCCCUACAGCUACAUGGGCCAGAAGCCUCCCACCACCCAGUCUGUUGUGUGAGUACACGCUGUGUGGGCUACUCCCCUGGAUGGCCCUGUGCAGAACUGGUUGGUGGGCACUGUGAGUCAGACUCCUGGCUGGAGGUUGGUGCUCUAGACCCAUCCUUGCCCAGGCUCUGGAAUAUUCAGGUAUGACCUAGGAGGCACCAAAAUGGUUUCAGUGCCAUCUGACUCUUCCAGAAUUCCAUCCUCUACCUAUCCCAUGCAGACCAGGGUUUGGCACUUGCUCCAUUCGGGGCCCUCAAGCGCAGUGGCAUAGGCUGGGGCAGCCCAGCAGCAGGGCACAGGCAGCACGGUGCCACCGGCUCAUUUGGUGAUGCUGCAGGUGGAAAGCCCGUGUCUGGGCUGUCUUCAUGCUGCUGGGAGAGUCCUGAGGACCAGCUUCCCGCCAUUCUGCCCAGAGCAGGCCAGAGCAGAUCCCCAGGCUGCUGGGCUUGUUUCUUGGCCUCCAGCUUAUCCUUCAUUCAAUGUCCCACUGUAGACAAGCUGACCAAUGUGGUUCUCAGGUGGGACACAGAGGCAGGGAA